AACCUGGUUGAUCCUGCCAGUAGUCAUAUGCUUGUCUCAAAGAUUAAGCCAUGCAUGUCUAAGUAUAAACUGCUUAUACUGUGAAACUGCGAAUGGCUCAUUAAAUCAGUUAUAAUCCAUUUGGUGAUGUCUGACUACUCGGAUAACCGUAGUAAUUCUAGAGCUAAUACGUGCGUAAAUCCCGACUCACGAAGGGACGUAUUUAUUAGAUACAAGGCCGACCGGAGGCAACCUCCGACUCGCGGUGAAUCAUGAUAACUUCACGAAGCGCAUGGGCUUGUCCCGGCGCUGUUCCAUUCCGAAUUUCUGCCCUAUCAACUUU
rnacentral:rRNA from 1 species